rnacentral:rRNA from 1 species
GGCUCAGUAGGUUGGUCGUGCCACCGGUACGUACUGGUCUCACUGAUUCCUCCUUCCUGAAGAACCGUAAUGCCAUUAAUUUGGUGUUGCGGGGAAACAGGACUGUUACUUUGAAAAAAUUAGAGUGUUUAAAGCAAGCUAACGCUUGAACACAUUAGCAUGGAAUAAUGAAAUAGGACGAUCGAUCCUAUUUUGUUGGUUUCUAGGAUUGACGUA